rnacentral:tRNA from 1 species
AGGGUUUAAUUGAACAGUUUAGAAAUCAUUAAAUCAUCUGCAAAGUGAUACUAGAAGAUUUUUAA